GAUCAUGGCUCAGGAUGAACGCUAGCUACAGGCUUAACACAUGCAAGUCGAGGGGCAGCAUGAACUUAGCUUGCUAAGUUUGAUGGCGACCGGCGCACGGGUGAGUAACACGUAUCCAACCUGCCGAUGACUCGGGGAUAGCCUUUCGAAAGAAAGAUUAAUACCCGAUGGCAUAGUUCUUCCGCAUGGUGGAACUAUUAAAGAAUUUCGGUCAUCGAUGGGGAUGCGUUCCUAG
rnacentral:rRNA from 1 species